UAUUGUUCUCAUUUCAUUACCAAAGAUAAGUCUGAGUGCAUUUAGGACCAGAGCCCACUGCUGCCGGCAUCUUUUUCAAAUAGACUGAGCUACGUUCAAAAGGUAGACCAUUAUAUAAUUUGCGAAGAAUGAAUGUUUCAGUGGGUAAAUAAGGAGGCUCAUUCCUUCCAACAGGGGAUACAUCCAGGAGAACAACAUAUGCCUGAGUAAAACACAGCUUCAUCACUAAUUCAAGCAAGCUCUUUGGCAGCAUCACCACAUCGGAUCCACCAGCUUACCAGGCUAAAAAUGCCACUUUUUGGCUGGAUGAAAUGGCCAAAAUAUGAUUCCUACAAACCUACACACUAUCCUGGCUCCGACGUAGUGACAAAGACUCUGCUUCGGGAAUUAAAGUGGCACCUGAAGGAGCGAGAGAGAUUAAUACAGGAGAUCGAAAAUGAACAAAAAGUUAAAAAAACAGGUGUGGAUUACAACUGGCUGAGAAACUACCAGAAUCUCCACACGACCAUCCCAGCUACGGAACAAAGACAACUUGAAGUCCUUUGCUCACAAGUUCAGCCUUGUCAAACUGGAACUAUUCUCAGCAGAUUUCGAGAAGUUUUAGCAGAAAAUGAUGUACUGCCAUGGGAAAUAGUUUACAUCUUCAAGCAAGUUCUGAAAGACUUCCUAAACAGUACUAACAAAGGUAACCAGCAAGAAGGCGCGGAAGAGUCAGGGAACACAGACUGUCCUGUUCCUUCUGUGAUCCUGGGCACAAGCUCCAGGGGUUCCAAUAAAGACGAAAUACCCACGAUUUCUAGUUACGUGGACAAAACCACAAAGAACAGGUUCCCAGCAUUCUCGCAUAGAAUAUGGAACCUACCAUAUUAUUACCCAUCAAGUUAAGUCACUUAUAACCAGAGAAGUUUUUAUGGCCAUCUUUAGAAGCAGAACUCUUAAUAUUAAGAAUACAAAAAAGUAAUGUGAUUUCAUGUUUCUCUGUUGCAAAGUCAGAUGUUAAGUAGUUUUUAACUAUGCAUCCUAUGUUUCAAAUAGUGUUCCUUUUUUAUCCGCUCUAAAAAUGCAAUGUUUUAUUGAACUGUAUACUUUUAACUAAAAUGAUUCCUAAAGACUGAAAAACACAUUUGAAGUAUUUUCUUAGACUUCAAACACAUCUCACAGGAACAAGUAUGGAACUGGACAAAUUCUGUGUGAAAAUUAGACAUUAACCUUGACUUUUAUUCCGAAAGGAAGCUAUGUAUAGAAUAAAAUAAAUGAUUGAUGUGAAUCUUGCUUUUACAAUAUAAC